AACGAACGCUGGCGGCAUGCCUAACACAUGCAAGUCGAACGAGACCUUCGGGUCUAUUGGCGCACGGGUGCGUAACGCGUGGGAACCUGCCCUUAGGUUCGGAAUAACUCCCCGAAAGGGGUGCUAAUACCGGAUAAUGUCUUCGGACCAAAGAUUUAUCGCCUUUGGAUGGGCCCGCAUUGGAUUAGCUAGUUGGUAGGGUAAAAGCCUACCAAGGCUACGAUCCAUAGCUGGUCAGAGAGGAUGAUCAGCCACACUGGGACUGAGACACGGCCCAGACUACUACGGGAGGCAGCAGUGGGGAAUAUAGGACAAUGGGCGAAAGCAUGAAACAGCAAUGCCGCGUGAGUGAUGAAGGCCUUAGGGUUGUAAAGCUCUUUUAAACGGGAAGAUAAUGACAGUACCGGGAGAAUAAGCACCGGCUAACUCCGUG
rnacentral:rRNA from 1 species